rnacentral:rRNA from 1 species
UACAGAGGGGGCAAGCGUUGUUCGGAAUUACUGGGCGUAAAGGGCGCGUAGGCGGCCUUCUAAGUCGAACGUGAAAUCCCCGGGCUCAACCCGGGAACUGCGUCCGAUACUGGAAGGCUUGAAUCCGGGAGAGGGAUGUGGAAUUCCAGGUGUAGCGGUGAAAUGCGUAGAUAUCAGGAGGAACACCGGUGGCGAAGGCGGCUACCUGGACAGAAACUGACGCUGAGGCGCGAAAGCUAGGGGAGCAAACAGG